AGCUUUAUAUUUUAAAUUUAAAAAAUAUUUGUUUGUGGUGCAAAAGAUUUAAAGCUA
rnacentral:tRNA from 1 species